AUUGAACGCUGGCGGCAUGCUUAAUACAUGCAAGUCGAACGGCAGCGCGGGCUUUGGCUUGGCGGCGAGUGGCGAACGGGUGAGUAAUACACCGGAACGUGCCCCGUAGUGGGGGAUAGUAACGCGAAAGCCGGAUUAAUACCGCAUCAGACCAGAAGGUGAAAGCGGGGGACCUCCGGACAUCGCGAAAUUGGAGAGGACGAUGGCAGAUUAGCUAGUUGGUGGGGUAAAGGCCUACCACGGCGACGAUCUGUAGCUGGUCGGAGAGGACGACCAGCCACACUGGAACGGAGACACGGCCCAGACUCCUACGGGGGGCAGCGGUGGGGAAUUUUGGACAAUGGGCGAAAGCCUGAUCCAGCAAUGCCGCGUGUGUGAUGAAGGCCUUCGGGUUGUAAAGCACUUUUGGCGGGAACGAAAAGGACUGUGCCAAUACCACGGUUCGAUGACGGUACCCGCAGAAUAAGCACCGGCUAACUACGUG
rnacentral:rRNA from 1 species